AAAAAUUUGUAGUUUAAAUCUACCAAGUUGCCUUAGCUGACAAACGAAUGUAGGGAUCUAGCAGUGGAGGGGAAAAAAGAGACGUCGAAGGAAAACUGUUUCUUUCUUAAAUAAUCAGAAGGAAAAAAAAAAAAAACUGUAGUGACAAGAUAGGGCAAACGUGCUUGCAUGCAAGCCCCCUCACUCGUUCUACGUAGACUUCAGAGCAACACCAUGCAGCAUCCCCUUACGGGUGCAACCUGCGUGGCACUGCCGAAUGUGGGCAUGUGUCCCCAGCUCUCCUGUGCCUUGACUUUUAUGUACUUACAGCAGAGGUUUGUGAGAGCUUAGGUAGCUACUGUUCAUGUGGGGACAGCAUCCAAGGGCCAAACCAGAAAAGUCAGAGCUUGGAUUUGAAGUGCCAUGCUGCUAUACGUUUAGAAGCAUGUUGUUCUAGGGAGGCAAGCAAAGCAUCUUUUUAUUAAAACAGCUGAUGUGGGCUUUGCCCGUGACAGAAGUUAUUUGGUUCUAGCUCUGAGUUUGGAAGAAGUUGGUAUAUAGAUUUUCCCCUAACUUUCAAUUGAUGUGUUUAGCUUUAGUGGGAGUAAUACUAUCACUUAAACCAUGUUGUCGUCUCAAGGAGUUUUGCUACAUCCGUAUGGAGUGCCAAUGAUUCUGCCAGCAGCACCAUACUUCGCUGGACUUGUUCAGGUAAUGCAAGGCCGCUUCCAACAAGCAACUUAACUCUAGUGCACUUAGAGUAAUAAUUGGAAUUUUUAUGGUUGAGAAAGCAAACACUUUUAAUACAGGCAAAAGCUCUCAUGUAGUCUGUGAGAAGACAGUAGGAAAUCAAAAAGAUGGAUCACCCUAAUCU